rnacentral:misc_RNA from 1 species
UAAUAAGUGUUUUAUGGCACUUUUUAAAUCCAUAUCCACCUUGUGUGCAAUGUCAGUCGAUCUUCUUCAUGGAGAUCGACCAAACAUCAACCUUUAUCUUUUAACUCUUUGUCUUAAAAAUAUUAUGAAUAAACAAUUCGAAAUA